CAGGCGCAACCCUGGUUGCCCCUCGCUCUUCCUGGAUCUGCGUUUCUGUCUGACCUCUUUGUACUGACUCUCCCGCCAGGCUCUCCAGCUGGAGGCACAUUUGGUUUUGCAUCCCAGGAGAGAUCCAACAGGGCUUCUCAUACCCUGUGCUUUUCCAGUAGACUCGAAGACCAGAUAUUACGAAGUGCGCUCUGGGAUCGCUCGAGGAGCACAGAGCUUCCUCUCCCUGUUUUGGUCGGGGGUGAUUUAUCUCAGAGCUGGCGAAAGCGUCCUCCCGGCCCCGGCACCUGCAACUUGUUAGGGUUUCUUCUCAGUCCUGCCUCCUCUCUGUGCGGUGAGUGGAUAGCGGUGCGUGCAGGGUGGCAGCGGCGGCGGAGAUUGGAGGGAUCAGGCAGAGCAGAAGAGAAGGAGCUGCUGCCAGGGGCUCGCAGGUCCCUGGGUAACCGUUUGCCAGGCGAAAGAGCUGGUGGAGAGAAGCGCUUGGCACGAGCGCUCUGCAGGACCCAAGCUUCAGGCUGCACGGGAUCCGUGAGUCCGCUGCUGCGGAAGGAGCUGAGGGGAGGAAGCCAACUGCUGCUUACUGGAGCCUGGAGGUCUGUGCAGCUCAGGUGACCAGGUGCUUGGCGAGAGCACUCUCCCAGGUUGGUGCAUGCAUGCAUAUUUAAAAUUAUUUUAAAUUUACAUUUCCCUCUUGCAAACCUUU
ensembl:lncRNA